CAGCCAUGGUACACACUUUUCUGUGGACUUUCCUGUGCUUCAAAUACAUCUAUAAUGAGGGACAUCAGAUGUGAGGAUGGAACAGACCUCUAAAGGACAAAAUGUUACAUCUGGGAGCCGGGCCACUGAAACCUGUUUCCAGCUUAUGUUUGGAUUAGACCAAACGUGGAUCAAUUAAACUACUAGAGCUUUUGAAUAUCCAUGAAUUACAUUCUUGAUACAGAGUCUUCUUAUCAUGAGAUGCCUUUUCUGACCCAAAGUGGGGACAACCAUGCAUGAGAUCACUCCAGAAUUAUCUUGGGAACGGACUUCCUGCCAUCUCCUAAAGCUCCCCAGCCUGCUUCUCACCCAGUCAGUCUGAGGAUCUGAAUGACAUUGAAGCCUUCAGCACUCCCUGCCUGCAAUGGCUUGUCUGCAAACAUUUGCCAACUGGCUGAAUUUUUCCUUAAGCCUCCAGUGCUGUGUGGACUCCUCAAUUGAUAAUUCAGUGAGAUGGCAGAUUUCCUCAGAAGCAGAAGAAACCAAGAGUUGUACCACCAUAUCAAAGAUCUUCAACCAACAGCAGGGCCAAAGGCCAAGCUUGGAUUGAAAUGGCAAAACUGAUUGCCUAAGUCUUUAUAUCUUAAAGGGCAGUGGUUUGCU
rnacentral:lncRNA from 1 species